ensembl:lncRNA
AAACUCAAAACUGCCUCUAUUUACCAAGCAGAGUGUGGGUCAGGAAGACAUUUGAGAUUUUCUUUCCUCUGCAAUUGUUUGCCUUGUUUUGGAGCCUAAAGCAAUAGAGUAAUUCCAUGACAAAAUUCCGGGUCAGAAAAGCUGACAAAGCAAAAAUUGUGACUGACUGAAAAAUCUUCUAUCAUUUCCUCCAAGCUUAAGAUUAUCAUUUGCAUUGUCUGGAUUUAAUUCACAGUCCCUGCCAUUCAUCUAUUUGAAUUUCUGCAUGCAUUUUUUGCUGGAUUAGUAUUUGUUGUUUUUCUUAUCAUCAGAUUUAUUAAAGGGUAAUUUAUUAAGAGGCACUCUGCACCCUGAGCCCUGCAUGCAUCCAGAAGAAAGCAGUGAUGACCACAGAGCUCAGAAACCUCAGAGCAGGGUCUGGGCUUCAUUACUCUGGAUUCCUGAGAGUGAGGAAGGUUUGUUAAUUUCCUGCAGUCUCAGAUCCCCAGCAAGCCUUUACUGCACUAAAACAGGCAUGAGCCCUCACUUCCCACCACAGCCCAGAGCUGAGCUUCUCCAUAGACCCACUCAACCCCUUCCAACUUUGAAGAUGGUUUGUGACACAGUCAUGCUCACUCCUCCUCCAAGUUUAUAAGUGAUGUUUCGAGAUAUUACACGAAGCACCAUGUGAGCUGAAGCAAGCUCACAGCUUCCUACCUACCACCAGGAGCCACCAAGUGUGUUAUAAAGGGUGUUUCUUAUUUUAAGGCUGGACAAGGUGAAGAAGCUGGAGCCUUACCCAUCCUUAACUCUAGAUGGAUCCUUCUGGGGUGUUGGAAGUGAAAGAAACCGAGGAAGCCCAAUGUUCUGAGGUUUCCAGCCUUAGCUCCAGACCCUAGCACCAAGUCUGGCCUCAUUUGGAGACCUUCUGGAAUGAAGAACUGAGCGUGCAGAAAUGUUUCAAGCCACCCCAACAUCUCCAGAGCAUUCUGCUAGUUCUGGUGCUGCCCUGCUUUGUAAAGCUAUUUUUACAAACCAGGCAGAUCAGGGGCCAUUAGGACUGACUGCUUGUUUUUUGUUUUUGUUUUUUGUUUUUU